UCAACGCUAAGCCACAUUUUCAGAACUAACUACAAGCCUUUUAUUUGUGUGAAAAGACGUUUUUAUACAGCUUUGCCUGCAUCAGCCGAGAAAUCCCACAAAGAACCUUAAUGGAGACCAAGGUUUUCACUCUCUUUGCGUUCCUGGUUGCAAUGACAACUGAGUGCAGCGCCGCAUCCUUAACCGAUGAUUUUGAUCGUCAAAAGCGCAGUGUAUGGGAUGUUGGCGGGAGUUACACCUGUAACCCUGAUCCUAAUUGCGCAGGCAGCGGUUUCACCGGAACAAUUACGAUCAAUUACCAAAAUUGCCGCUGCAGAGGAACACAGCUGUGUUGCGUGCAGAUUACAGGGAGAGGAACAUAUGGACGACCGCCCACUCCCCCUCCACGUAGCUUCGGUGGGUUUGGCAGUAGAAAUCAUGGUGGUUUCGGUACACGUGGUGGAUUCGGCGGUGGAUGGCGUGGUUAAAUGACGUGAAAACACAACUAGCAUGUGUUAGGACACUGAUUAAUUGUAUUUAAUAGUCAAAAUGGUGCCAUUGACGUAUAACUACAUCUUUACACUUUUCUUGUUGCUGUUUAUGUUCUCUUAUGAAGUAUAAAAUUAUUCCGAUGUGCGUGAACGCCGCAAACCUGCUAGAUGCUGUUUUUUCAAGAAAAUAAAUCUGUUUCGAAAAAUC